rnacentral:rRNA from 1 species
CCGGGCAAGACCGGUGCCAGCCGCCGCGGUAAUACCGGCGGCUCGAGUGGUGACCGCUAUUACUGGGUUUAAAGGGUCCGUAGCUGGAUGUACAAGUCCCUUGAGAAAUCCACCGGCUCAACUGGCGGGCGUUCAGGAGAUACUGUAUUUCUAGGGACCGGGAGAGGUGAGAGGUACUGCCGGGGUAGGAGUGAAAUCCUGUAAUCCCGGUGGGACCACCUAUGGCGAAGGCAUCUCACCAGAACGGGUCACGACAGUGAGGGACGAAAGCUGGGGGAGCAAACCGGAUUAGAUACCCGGGUAGUCCCAGCUGUAAACGAUGCGCGUUAGUGUGUCACUGCCACAGUCAUGAGUGC